GCAGCCCUCCCCACCCCUCCCCAGCUCUCCGAUGCGCGGGUUUCCAAGCCCCUCCCUCCGCCCGGCUGUGGGUUCGCGCUCGCCGGCGGUUCCCACACUGCGCGGGCGGGCGGCGAGGGAAGCGUGCCUGGGCCCCCCCGCGGCAUUAGUGCCGGGGUCUGAGUCUGAAUGAAUGAGGGCGGCGGCGGGGGGCGCGGGGGGGCAACUCCCAAAAGACCAUCUGGCUCCGCGUUAUAAUAGAGCAAUAAAGGGCUUGUCUGCCUUUCAGAGGUUGGGGUCCUGGUGGAGGGAUGGAGCCUUACCUUAGUCAGAUGAGAAAUGGUACUUCCACCGCCCAGCUCAGCCCACCUAUAGUGCUCUCACGCAAGGCCUUAGGCCUGCCUUCCCUGUUCAGACCCUACGGGUCCCCGUGUGGCCAGGUUGGUUGCGAUCGGGAGAUGGGUAGAGGGCCCUGCCCCCUGACUUGGUGCCCCUGGCCAGGUGCAGUGUGCAGUGCAGGGACUGGGACACCUGUUUGGGCCCACAAGCCGUAUUCCAGGUGAGGAUCAGACAGCAGGUGGCCAGCCCCAGCACAGAGUCUCCUGGGCUGGGGCUAACUGGGUAUGGAGGGGGUGGGCGCUACUCUGCAGUG
rnacentral:lncRNA from 1 species